rnacentral:tRNA from 1 species
GGGCCCGUAGCUUAGCCAGGUAGAGCGCCCUGGGGCCCAACCGGGCGGUCCCGGGUUCAAAUCCCGGCGGGCCCA